AUUGAACGCUGGCGGCAGGCCUAACACAUGCAAGUCGAGCGGAGCGGCGGACGGGGGAGUAAUGCCUAGGAAUCUGCCUGUUCGUGGGGGCUAACGUCCGGAAACGGGCGCUAAUACCGCAUACUAUCAGAUGUGACUCGGUCGGAUUAGCUAGAUGGUGGGGUAAAGGCCUACCAAGGCGACGAUCCGUAACUGGUCUGAGAGGAUGAUCAGUCACACUGGAACUGAGACACGGGCCAGACUCCUACGGGAGGCAGCAGUGGGGAAUAUUGGACAAUGGGCGAAAGCCUGAUCCAGCCAUGCCGCGUGUAUGAAGAAGGUCUUCGGAUUGUAAAGCACUUUAAGUUGGGAGGCGUUACCAACAGAAUAAGCACCGGCUAACUACGUGCCAGCCGCCGCGGUAAUAC
rnacentral:rRNA from 1 species